rnacentral:rRNA from 1 species
GACGAACGCUGGCGGCGUGCUUAACACAUGCAAGUCGAACGGAAAGGCCCUGCUUUUGUGGGGUGCUCGAGUGGCGAACGGGUGAGUAACACGUGAGUAACCUGCCCUUGACUUUGGGAUAACUUCAGGAAACUGGGGCUACUACAGGAUAGGAGCUCCUGCUGCAUGGUGGGGGUUGGAAAGUUUCGGCGGUUGGGGAUGGACUGGCGGCUUAUCAGCUUGUUGGUGGGGUAGCGGCUUACCAAGGCUUUGACGGGUAGCCGGCAUGGGAGGGUGACCGGCCACAUUGGUACUGAGAGACGGCCCAGACUCGUACGGGGGGCAGUAGUGGGGAAUAUUGCACAAUGGGCGGAAGCCUGAUGCAGCAACGCCGCGUUCGGAAUGACGUCCUUCGGGUUGGAAACCGCUUUCGCUUGUGACGAAGCGGGAGUGACGGUAAUGGGUAAAGAAGCACCGGCUAACUACGUG